rnacentral:rRNA from 1 species
UACAGAGGUCUCAAGCGUUGUUCGGAUUCAUUGGGCGUAAAGGGUGCGUAGGCGGCGCGGUAAGUCGGGUGUGAAAUCUCGGAGCUUAACUCCGAAACUGCAUUCGAUACUGCCGUGCUUGAGGACUGGAGAGGAGACUGGAAUUUACGGUGUAGCGGUGAAAUGCGUAGAUAUCGUAAGGAAGACCAGUGGCGAAGGCGGCUCUCUGGGACGGUACUGACGCUGAGACGCGAAAGCCAGGGGAGCAAACGGG